GGAGACGGACAGACGACCGCGACGCCGUGUGCGUCGAGGAAAGUCCGGACUCCACAGGACAGGGUGGUGGAUAACGUCCACUCAGGGUGACCUGCAGGAAAGUGCAACAGAGAGCAGACCGCCGUGGCCCUUUCGAGGAAGCACACGGUAAGGGUGAAAGGGUGGUGUAAGAGACCACCGGCGCGUCAGGUGACUGGCGCGGCCAGGAAAACCCCACCCGGAGCAAGACCGAGCAGACUACGCCCUAAAGCGGUCCGCUGAAGUAGUCGGGUUGGUUGCUUGAAGCCACGAGUAAUCGUGGCUCUAGAUAGAUGGUCGUCAUGCGUGAGGCGGUAACGCUUUACACAUACAGAAUCCGGCUUAUGGCCGUCUUCUUCC
rnacentral:RNase_P_RNA from 1 species